rnacentral:rRNA from 1 species
UACGGAGGGAGCUAGCGUUGUUCGGAAUUACUGGGCGUAAAGCGCACGUAGGCGGCUUUGUAAGUUAGAGGUGAAAGCCCGGGGCUCAACUCCGGAACUGCCUUUAAGACUGCAUCGCUUGAAUCCGGGAGAGGUGAGUGGAAUUCCGAGUGUAGAGGUGAAAUUCGUAGAUAUUCGGAAGAACACCAGUGGCGAAGGCGGCUCACUGGACCGGCAUUGACGCUGAUGUGCGAAAGCGUGGGGAGCAAACAGG